GAAAUGGAACGGAUGAUCGCGGCAUUGCCGAGGAAAGUCCGGACUUCACAGGGCAGGGUGCCGGGUAACGCCCGGAGGGAGUGAUCCCUGAAAAGGGCCAUAGAAACGGAAACCGCCCGAAAGGGCAAGGAUGGAAAGGCGAGGUAAGAGCUCCCCGGCGAACGGGUAACCGUUCGGCCUGGUAACCUCCACCCGAAGCAAGACCAAGUCGAGAGGAUAUAGGUGGCCCGCCGAUCUCUCUGGUAGGUCGCUCGAGGGAUACGGUAACGUAUCUCCAAGAUAGAUGAUCAUCCACGACAGAAUCCGGCUUACAGUUCCAUUUCCUCA
rnacentral:RNase_P_RNA from 1 species